GUUAAUAUGGCAGAGAGUUUAUGCGAAAGUUCUAAGAUCUUUUUACGGGAAAAUCCCUAUUAAUU
rnacentral:tRNA from 1 species